rnacentral:rRNA from 1 species
UAGUCCACGCCCUAAACGAUGAACACUAGUUGUUGCUAUGCGAGUCAUAGCAGUAAUGCACCUAACGGAUUAAGUGUUCCGCCUGGGGAGUACGGUCGCAAGAUUAAAACUCAAAGGAAUAGACGGGGACCCGCACAAGCGGUGGAGCAUGUGGUUUAAUUCGAAGAUACGCGAAGAACCUUACCUGGCCUUGAUAUCCUUGGAAUCUUUCAGAGAUGAGAGAGUGCUAGUUUACUAGAACCAAGUGACAGGUGCUGCACGGCUGUCGUCAGCUCGUGUCGUGAGAUGUUGGGUUAAGUCCCGCAACGAGCGCAACCCUCGUCCUUAGUUGCUAACAGUUCGGCUGAGCACUCUAAGGAGACUGCCUUCGCAAGGAGGAGGAAGGUGAGGACGACGUCAAGUCAUCAUGGCCUUUAUGACCAGGGCUACACACGUACUACAAUGGCAGGUACAAAGGGCAGCCACUUCGCGAGAAGGAGCGAAUCCCGUAAAG